rnacentral:rRNA from 1 species
AAUCCAUAGGUUAAUGAGGCGAACCGGGGGAACUGAAACAUCUAAGUACCCCGAGGAAAAGAAAUCAACCGAGAUUCCCCCAGUAGCGGCGAGCGAACGGGGAGGAGCCCAGAGCCUGAAUCAGCAUGUGUGUUAGUGGAAGCGUCUGGAAAGGCGCGCGAUACAGGGUGACAGCCCCGUACACAAAAGCGCAUGUGCUGUGAGCUCGAUGAGUAGGGCGGGACACGUGGUAUCCUGUCUGAAUAUGGGGGGACCAUCCUCCAAGGCUAAAUACUCCUGACUGACCGAUAGUGAACCAGUACCGUGAGGGAAAGGCGAAAAGAACCCCGGCGAGGGGAGUGAAAAAGAACCUGAAACCGUGUACGUACAAGCAGUGGGAGCACAGGUUUACCUGUGUGACUGCGUACCUUUUGUAUAAUGGGUCAGCGACUUAUAUUCUGUAGCAAGGUUAACCGUAUAGGGGAGCCGCAGGGAAACCGAGUCUUAACCGGGCGUUAAGUUGCAGGGUAUAGACCCGAAACCCGGUG